GAAGUAAAAGUCGUAACAAGGUUUCCGUAGGUGAACCUGCGGAAGGAUCAUUAUCCAUCCUUAACAGGUGCGGUCGCGGCCCCUGGGGGCUCCCCCAGGUGGUAAGGUGAAAUACCCUAUCGCGCCGCAUACCUGCAUCCUUUUUUUACGAGCACCUUUCGUUCUCCUUCGGCGGGGCAACCUGCCGCUGGAACCUGAUAAACCUUUUUUGCAUCUAGUAUUACCUGUUCUGAUACAAACAAUCGUUACAACUUUCAACAAUGGAUCUCUUGGCUCUGGCAUCGAUGAAGAACGCAGCGAAAUGCGAUAAGUAGUGUGAAUUGCAGAAUUCAGUGAAUCAUCGAAUCUUUGAACGCACAUUGCGCCCCUUGGUAUUCCAUGGGGCAUGCCUGUUCGAGCGUCAUCUACACCCUCAAGCUCUGCUUGGUGUUGGGCGUCUGUCCCGCCUUUGCGCGCGGACUCGCCCCAAACUCAUUGGCAGCGGUUUUUGCCUCCUCUCGCGCAGCACAAUUGCGUCUGCGAGGGGGCGUGGCCCGCGUCCACGAAGCAACAUUACCGUCUUUGACCUCGGAUCAGGUAGGGAUACCCGCUGAACUUAA
rnacentral:rRNA from 1 species